rnacentral:miRNA from 1 species
UAACUAGACCCAGGACGGCCAAGGC